rnacentral:rRNA from 1 species
GAUGAACGCUGGCGGCGUGCAUAACACAUUCAAGUCGAACGAGGUAGCAAUACCUAGUGGCGGACGGGUGAGUAACGCGUGAGCAACCUGCCCUUGUGUGGGGGAUACCGUCUGGAAACGGACGUUAAUACCGCAUAACAUAGCGGAAUCGCAUGGUUCUGCUAUCAAAGAUUUAUUGCGCAAGGAUGGGCUCGCGUUGGAUUAGAUAGUUGGUGAGGGUAACGGCCCACCAAGUCUGCGAUCCAUAGCCGGACUGAGAGGUUGAACGGCCACAUUGGAACUGAGAUACGGUCCAGACUCCUACGGGAGGCAGCAGUGGGGAAUAUUGGGCAAUGGGCGAAAGCCUGACCCAGCGACGCCGCGUGAAGGAAGAAGGUCUUCGGAUUGUAAACUUCUUUUAUCAGGGACGAAUACUGACGGUACCUGAUGAAUAAGCCACGGCUAACUACGUG